GGUUUCAUUGGCUCACAGUUCUGCAGGCUGUACAGGAAGCAUGGCAGCAUCUGCUUUUGGGGAGACCUCAGGGAACUUAUAAUCAUGGCAGAAGGCAAAGCCAGAGCAAGCGUUCACAUGGUCAGAGCAGGAGGAAGAGAGAGAGGGUGGAGGUGCUACACACUUUUAAACAACCAGAUCUCACGAGAACCCUAUCAUGAGAACAGCACUAGGGGAAUGGUGCUUAAGCAUUAAAACUGCCCCCAUGGUCCAAUUACCUCCCACCAGGCCCCACCUCCAACAAUGGGGAUUACAAUUCCACAUGAGAUUUGGGCAGGGACACAGAUCCAAACCAUAUCAUGCUGGAAACCACCCAUGGGCCUAAAGAAGGUUACUGGAGCCUAUUGAGGCCUGGAGCAGUGGGAAGGACCGCUGGGCAGAAGCUAUAGCCAGGCAGAAUGGCACUGGCCCAACCCUGCAUCAAAGCAGAGAGGUAGCAGAGAAGAAAUACUCCACCCUCUCUUCUCCCACUUUCCAGCCUCCUGCCUGUGUCUCCCAGUGGUCAAAUCAUACUGGAGCCAAUAGACACAGGAACCCAUUGAUUCAUUCCACAGGGAUCAGCCUUCUGAGGCACAGAGCAAUGCUAAGAAGGAGAGACAAUGAAUUGAAGAGGACAAGUGGAGAACAACAGCAUCAUGUACUGCAAUUUCCACCGUGUUGUUUUUCCCCAGAAGAAGCCUCAGAGAGUGGAGGCAACCUGCCAAAGGCCAUGUAGCAAGUUAGGACAGGGCCCUUAGCUCCUCUUCCUUGGGGCCCAGGCUCCUUGCACACUGGGCCUGCACCGAAGGCAGCCAGGUGGGAUGCCCCAUUGUCUUGGAGCUGCAGCUGCAGGUCCCAAUUAGCCAGAGGAAGGCAGCUGAGCAAGGGCAGCAGUGGGCAGGGCCAGGAAAGAUGAACAUCCAAGGGCUGGCCACCCACCCUCAACGUCAGGAAGGUAAUAGACACUUGCUUCCUUGUCUCAUGAUUUGCUACCUGCCCCCCUGGUCCCCAUUUCCUCUCUUGAGUCCUCCCUAGACCUGGGGACAGGAACCCAGACCUAGGAUUGGCAGGAACAAAGGGAGGAGACUCUGCUUCCCUGGUAGCCAGCGCUGCUCAUCGAUUCCCUAGAGCUGCUCACUGAUCCAGCACAAGAUGGUUUAAUUGAAGUCACUACAAUAAAUGGUGCAGAAAAGCAACACCCUUUGUCUGCCAGGAGCCUCAGAGAAAUGUGAGAGGGAGCUGGGAAAACCAGCAGCAGCAACUGCCGUUACACGAUGAUGCAAAGAGGGUGAGACUGAGGCGUCACAAAGUCCUGGGUUCGAAGCCUGACUGGUCACUUACAAGUUAUGUGACCUUAGUCAAGUCCCUUUAUCUUCCCGAGCUUCUAGGCCCUAGUCUAGGAAAAUGGGAAUAUUGUAACCUGUCCUCCCAGACCCUGCAUGACCCUGGGCCCUGCCUGCACCUCCAGCUCCAUCUCCCACCACCUCUCACCUCUCCUGUCACUCUGUGGUUACCCACAUGGGUUGCUGUUCCCUGCCAGUCCUCAUAUUUCACUCACAUGGAUCUCUCCCCUGAAAUGCCCUUCUCAUUCCUUCCUUGAGUAAUUCCUACUCACCUUUCAAGAUUCAGAUCGAGAGUCACCUCCUCCAGCAAGACUCUCUAUGCCCAGCCUUUCUUCCCCUGAGUGCCUCUAGCACACCCUGACUGUUGACAUCCAUUUGGCAUUUGACACUCCCUCUCAUGCACAGCAGUCUUUCUCUCUCCCUAUGGCUUAUCUUCUCAUGGAGAUAAACAUGGGAGCUAUAUCUUCUCUUUCUCAUCUUCACAUGCCUAAUAUAUGCCUAACAUCACAGUCGUGUUGGGGUUGGGGGUACUGAGGUGCAGAGAUUCAGAGCCCAGAGGUGGGCACAGCCAGGAUGCAGCCGGCACUGGUAGAUGAUAACUCCCAUGUAGCCACGAAGCUCCCUUCCCAGAUAGUUAGGAUGGUACCUCCACCAUACAUUCUUGUCUUCAGCAUGGAACACAGCCUCCUCUGUGCCCAGGACCAGCUGGCUCUCUGCUCAGCUCCAUAAACUACUAUCUGAUUCAGUAUCAGAGGACAGAGGAUCCAAGUUGUGAAAUCAUAAAAUGUCAGCAUCAAACCUUCUAAUGUAGCAAAAGUGAUGUCUCAGUACCUCCAGUCUACGUCAUAAGAAGCCUUAUCAUUUCCACUUGUGUCUCUUGGGAUGCUCUCUCUCAGCAUCCAGGUGCCCUACCAUGAGAAGUCCAAGCCAUGUGGAGAAGCCACGUCUAGGGACUCCAGUUAACACUCUCAGCUGAGUCCCCAGCUGACAGUCAGCAUCAACUGCCAGCCACCUCUGUCUAAAAGUGGGCCAUCUUGGGCAUCCAGCCCAGUCAAGCCUUCAGAUGAGUCCAGUCCCAGCCACUAUCUCACACAACCACACAAGAGACAUCAAGAACUCCCAGUGGAGUCCAGUCAGCCCGUGGAACUGUAAGAGGCAGGAUCUCGCUGCGUUGCUCAGACUGGUCUCGAACUCCUGGGCUUAAGGGAUUCUCCUGCCUCAAUCACAGCCUCCCAAGUAGCUGAGAUUACAAGUGCUCACCACCGUGCCAGCCAGUCCAGUUUUUGAGGGUGGAGCCAAGACUCUGAGGAGAGGGCUGAACUGUGAACCUAGAAGUACCAUCUCCCCCUGCACACACCUUUGGUCAAGUUGACCCCAAGAAGAAGGACAAGUCCUCUGCACGGCGAUGAGGCCAUACACACAGUCUGUGGCCCGGCUUUGGGAGACUGAUGGGACAAAGGAUGUUUUGCACGAUCCUUGGUCUCUGAGCAAAUAUAUACAUGGGUUAACACAAAGGCUCUCUUUUUGAAAAAUGUGACUGUGAAAGUGUGCCCUCCCAGAUAUUCCAGGCAUAACACAGGAGUGACUGCAUGUUUGGGGACAGUGCAGAGGCCACUCUGAUUAGAUCAGAGGAUGUGGACUGGUUCAUGAUGUAAAAGCUGAAGGGAGGCCGGGCACAGUGGCUCACGCCUGUAAUCCUAGCACUUUGGGAGGCCAAGGUGGGUGGAUCACAAGGUCAGGAGAUCGAGACCAUCCUGGCUAACAAGGUGAAACCCCAUCUCUACUAAAAAUACAAAAAUUAG